rnacentral:rRNA from 1 species
AUUGGACGCUGGCGGCGUGCUUAACACAUGCAAGUCGAUCGGUAACAGGUGUAGCAAUACAUGCUGACGAGAGGCGGACGGGUGAGUAAUGCUUGGGGAUCUGCCUAUUAGUGGGGGACAACCCGGGGAAACUCGGGCUAAUACCGCAUACGCUCUACGGAGGAAAGCCGGGGACCGCAAGGCCUGGCGCUAAUAGAUGAGCCCAAGUCGGAUUAGCUAGUUGGUAGGGAACGGCCUACCAAGGCGACAAUCCGUAGCUGGUCUGAGAGGACGACCAGCCACACCGGAACUGAGACACGGUCCGGACUCCUACGGGAGGCAGCAGUGGGGAAUAUUGGACAAUGGGGGCAACCCUGAUCCAGCGACGCCGCGUGGGUGAAGAAGGCCUGCGGGUUGUAAGCCCUUUCGGUGGGGAAGAAAAGUCUCGACCUAAUACGUCGGGACCUUGACGUAA